rnacentral:misc_RNA from 1 species
GUUUGAUUAUGGCUCAGAUUGAACGCUGGCGGGAUGUGCUUUACGCUGCAAGUCGAACGGCAGCACGGACUUCGGUCUGGUGAGUGGCGAACGGGUAGUAAUGUAUCAGGAACGUGCUGAAUGGCGGGGAUAUGCGCCGAAAGCGUAGCUAAUACCGCAUACGCCCUUCGAAGAAAGCAAAAGAGGACCUUCGGGCCUCGCACUAUUAAACGGCCGAUAUGGAUUAAGCCUAGUUGGGUAGGGCCAACGGCUCACCAAGGCGACGAAAUCCGUAGCUGGUUGAGAGGACGACCAGCCACACUGGGACUGAGACACGGCCGAACCUGAGGAGGCAGCAGUGGGGAAUUUUGGACAAUGGAAACCUGAUCCAGCCAUCACGCGUGUG